rnacentral:rRNA from 1 species
UGGGGGAUAUUGCGCAAUGGGGGCAACCCUGACGCAGCAACGCCGCGUGAAGGAUGAAGGUUUUCGGAUUGUAAACUUCUUUUAUUAAGGACGAAAAAUGACGGUACUUAAUGAAUAAGCUCCGGCUAACUACGUGCCAGCAGCCGCGGUAAUACGUAGGGAGCAAGCGUUGUCCGGAUUUACUGGGUGUAAAGGGUGCGUAGGCGGCUUUGCAAGUCAGAUGUGAAAUCUAUGGGCUCAACCCAUAAACUGCAUUUGAAACUGUAGAGCUUGAGUGAAGUAGAGGCAGGCGGAAUUCCCCGUGUAGCGGUGAAAUGCGUAGAGAUGGGGAGGAACACCAGUGGCGAAGGCGGCCUGCUGGGCUUUAACUGACGCUGAGGCACGAAAGCGUGGGUAGCAAACA